AACGAGCAAAAGAGAAAGCUGAUUACAAAAAUGAGAGAGAUAGCUGAAAAGUUGUGAUGAGAAUCGAGAUUGUUUGUGUAAUUCUUUAUUUUCCUAAAAAUUCAGAUAUUUACAGGAGGAAGUGAGGGCAUACAUUAUAGAUGAAACCUACAUUAUAGUGAGCUCAAGUUGAAAUGUUGUGGGAGUGUUCACUCUGAUUCCAUCAGUUUGGUGGGUUGAAGUGGGAAAAGUUAAGGGGAUAACGACAUGAUACAAAUCCAAUUUACUCGAUGAACUGGGCUUAGCUGUGUUUUAAACUUCACUAUAAGAUUUGUACAGCUUAAAGAGACUUGAAGUCCCAAAUUAUAACAGCAAAUUAUGGUCGAAGCCUCAUUGGACAAGUUCCGUACGUGUAGUUACUAUAUGUUUCAACUCUACCACAUCUUUCUGGGUGUUAUUUAAAUUGCCAAUGCUUGGAUAAAGUGUCCUCUGGAUGGAUCAAAGUUCUGAAGUAUUUGUGUCUACAGAUGAAGUAAAUGUAACUAAUAUUGGAGUCAAUUAGGUUACUUCAGAAACCAAUGUUCUUAACUGUAGCAGUUUUUCAUGUCGUGCCGGUCCCCUUUAUACUUUUUACAGUGCUUGGCCUCUGUCUGACUUGUCUCCAUAUUUUGGUAUCUCAAUUUUUGAAGCAGUAAAAGGGGAGAAGGCAAGGGAAAAUGCAGUCUUUUAGUCUUCUACUUUUCUGGUUGAUUGUCUUCUUUCUUAAAUUUUCUUUUACUUUGCUCUUCUUUUCUUUUGCUGGUUUAUUUACUCUGAUAGCUAGCUAUCAAUUCGCCUAACCAGUCCAUCAGUUUCAGUUGUCGUAACUUAGAGUCAUGCUGACCUGUGCACAAGAACUGUCAUGAACAUGACCUUAUCUAUAUUUCUCAUUACUUCACGUGACAUUCACGGCCAAUAUAGUGAUCUUUUAAGGCUUUUUGAGUAUGGAGGUUUCCCUCGAAUAUGUUUAUAUGUGGAUGUUCUUGCAUGUUUUUCAUUCAUCUCUCACAUUACUUAAUCUACUUGAUUCUUCUAAAAUAGUAAGAGAAGAAUUAAUGUGUGAAUUAAUGUAGAUUGAUCCAUUGUUUAUUAUGUAAUCCUAUUUAAAUUGUUGUAUUGAUCAUUUCUUAGGCAUGUGAAGACAAAGCCUGUACAAUAGAUUCUGUAGGUCAAAUCCUGAGUCGACAAGAUAAAGAUCGAUGCUAUACAAAAGAGAAAAACAAAGCAUAUGAAGCAAUGAAACCAAAGAGAUUAUCAAAGGGGGAGAUACUUUGUCUAAUGGAAGAAAAGAAACAACUGAAAGAAGACAUCUGGUCACAAGGUUUGCGGAGAAAGGAGUUACAUAUUGCACAACGUCAAACCCCAUGGAAAGAACUACUACAGUAGUUCCUGAAGAAACUUAUGUGAUUUCUGAAGAUGCCUUGGAGACAAGCACAAGAGAACUAGGAAGGAAUGAGGAAAAGCAAUAUCGACGAAAGAAGAGAAAAGAAACAAGAAAAAAAGAAUAUCCGCGAAAAAAAAAGAAAGAGAAACAGAAAAAAGCAAUAUAUAGA